AAGCAAAACCUCGUCUUGCAGGUUUGACGAAGGAUCAGUUACCCUUGGCCUUUGGCUGCAGCAUCAAUACAACUCAAGCAUACAGGGGGACUGUACUGCUAAAGAAUGCAAAAUAUAUUGUUGACUCACUGAUCCGAAUGCAGUUGACACAGAAGUUGGAGAAGAUUCUUCUGCCCAUGAUAGAUAAGCUUGCACUCAGCUGCUCCCUUGAAGAGAAGGAAAGGAUGGCCCUAAUAUUUCCCCUGCUUAGUGUACUGGUCAUGGUUGUAUCUCUUAUCUCCUUAAAGAACACAGUAGUCUAACAUCCCAUGUUUCUGCAGAUACAUAAAAAAGAUCAAGAAAUAAAUCAAGUAUUCCACUUCUCCAUGAAUUAGCUGAUGGAAAGUCGGGCAUGGGAGAAGAAUGGAACCAUAUAGAACUCAUACAAGCAGAUUCAACGCAUGAGCAACAUUAAGAACAUUUUCGAGGAUCUUCUUGUGGCAGAAUGUUUCUGAUCUGAUGAAAGAUGUCAAUGUAAGAGAAAUAAGCGACGUAUAUGAAUGUUGUCCUCGAUCAUCGUGGCAUCACCAACAAGCACAGCAAUGGGUAUUCUACACUGAAUAUUACCUAGUGAA